AAAAUGGGUAAGGAUAACAUACCUGUAUUUUGAACAUAUGUAACUCCCCUCUUCUCUUCUGGAGGUUUGAAGAAUUCCCACAAAUUGCGCCAAAGUCAGUUUACCAAUCGGAGCAUUGCAUUGGAGAGUAGGGUGAAAGGUCAAAGGUGGAUAGAGCUGUUAACGGCCCUCUUCUGUUGUGAUUUUUUUUUACUUUUUUUAUACAUAUUCAUACGCGACCAAAUUAUUGUUUUCCAUGUUAUAAUUACGUAUUUUCCGAACUCACAACAUAUCUGUUUUGUAAAAGAAGAUUAAUAUUUCUGGUUCAACAGAAGUACAACAGCACGGCGCCAUAAGCUCUGUGCAUCGUUGCGCCUUUCUUUUAUUUCCGACGUGAUACUGAGCGAGCAAAGGUGCAAUUCUAGUGUUUCAGUUACAGAACUGAACUGAACUGAAAAGAAAAUAUGACGUGAGUGACGAGUCUGUACGGGGUAUGAUAACAACCAUAGGAAAACGAGGACCACGCAGUGAAAACAUUGUUUUGCCCAGCUAACAAUUGUGAAGCUAAAAGCAGAAGUAGCAGCACUAAGUGCAGAGAAUAGAUGGAACGAGACAUCCUUCGGAAACAGCUUGAAUGCUCUGCGUCCAGAGAUAGAUCUUGGAAGAAGAAUAGAAGGGGUUCUUUUACAGUAAUCAGCUCAGAUGACAUCAGCUCUUCAAGUGAAGAAUCCAGUGUUUCAAGUGAAGAAGAUGAAAGUGAUGGAUCUAGUGAUGUAAAACACAGCAAGAAGUCAAGUAAAUGCAAAAAAGGCAAGAAACAAGCAAAAUCUAAAAAGUAAAUACUGAGGAAAAGGGUGAAAAAUCCAAAACAAAUUUUAGAGAGGUACAAAAAAGUGCUAUAGGCAUACAAGAAAAAAGGUGUCUUGUCGCAUGCUUUAACCACCAUCAAUGUGGAUCGUAACACUAUGAUUGCUACACACCAAUUGCUGAACUGAAGAUUGCAGCAGCAGAAAAGUUCAACACAAUUUGUGAAUUUAAGCCAAAGGAAGAGAAGCUGAUGGACCUCUCAGACAGAUGUGCCA